UUGUGUUUUCCCAGAAAACAUUAUUCCACUAUGAAAAUGAUACUCCCAUCCUUUUCAGCAACACCGCAAAGAAAAUAUGGGCCUUUUCCUUUCUUUUAUUUGCUUUUCUUUGGGUCAGCCUCAUUUCCCAGGGAUGCUUUUCCUGCAGCAUCUCUUUCCUGACUGCGCUGCACUUUAUGGUGGUUUCUUGGUGACUCCACGCGUUGCUGCGCCGUGCGAACAGCCCUGAUGUGGCAGAGGACACCUCAUCGUGCACAGCAGCACAAGUGUGCACACUCAGCCACGCUGCGUGAGAAAACCACGCUGAGAGCGACUCCUGGUGUGGGCUGGAACGAAUGGACGCCCAUAGAUCUCAAUUCAGCACUGAGUUAUUGCCAACUACCGGAGCGGUAACACUUCGUAUGGGAAAGUGUAAACCGAGCCAGGGGUCUGCUGGGGGAACGCUGCUCUGCGACGCUCAGGAGGAAACACAAACCCGAAACCCAACACCACCAACCCAUGUAGGUGACCAACUACCAAUGCUCAGCGCCAGCAAACGUAAAUUUGGGGACCUGGAAAUACACUCUGGUGGUGUCAGAAGACCGAUGCCUGCGCAGAGCUUUUCCACGCGCCUGCCUUCCUUCUGUGUUCGCUGCAGUGUGCUCAGCUGCUGAACGCUGCACUCAAGAGUUGCUUUAAAAGCACAUGGUGGGACGCAGAGGACCGUCCCAAGCCCCUGCUCAGCCCCACGCGUGUGCACAGCCCUGCAGCUCUGGCUGCUCUUUGCAAGGCUGAGAUACGCGCCAUCCUCAUAAAAACAAAAUCUUGAAAAUUCCUAAUGUGGAAGGUGAUUAAAAUUCCUAUAAAAUUGUCAUAUCUUUAAAUUUAGAAGCACGGCAGAUUUUUCAUCAAUAAUUAAGAUCUCUAAAGCAUUUAUGCUAGGCAUAAAUGGAGUUUCAAUCUUCCUUAUUCAAAUAAACAUGAUAAACCCAUUAACCAAAUGUUUUCUGAUUUUUUAUAUCUUCUCAUGCUUCUGGAAUACCAAACUGUAACGCACUUCUGCUCAUUUGGGGGAGGCAGAAAAGCACUGACACUGCACGGCUCGUUCUGGUUUUGGUGGGAUCGCCCCUCACAGAACCAACGUAAUUUAACUCACGAUGACUGUGGAACAUUACUAUGUAUACAUCAU